GUUCUAUAAUCUGUACCUUUUUUUUUUAUGUUUUUUUAUUCAUUUUCUCUCUGUCUUUUCGAUGCUUCUUAUCCUUGGCCUAUCGUGAAACUUAAAUUAUGUUUGGAUGCAUUAUUGCUGGAUUGUGAUUAAUUAGACAUGGAAGGGUUCCUUGCCCAUGGUUUGAAGGUGGGUGGUACUUUGUAGCAUGCAGAAAUUGGUAUGUCUUGAUUACCACAAAGCUUAAGUGAACCUGUGCUAAAGUGCAGUGUUGGAAUGGAACAAAGAUGCUUCUUCAGUGUAGGGAUCCUAAAUAAUAUAGCAAUUAGUUAUGCGCAUGUACUCAAAAAUUUGGGCCUGAUGUAAGAGUGGUAGGAGUGAGACAUCAUUAAUAUAUUUUAUGUUGAGAAAGAUGGGAAGUAGGCGAGGAUUUGGUUGUUUGAACGUCUAGGAAGCAGGCGCGGUUUAACGAUGUAUUGAGAGGUAUGGUAUAAUGCUGCACAGGAGAAAAUUAUUCCUAGACAAGUGGUCUAUCAACAUAAAUUCUGAAGAAUAAUUGUAUUGUUUUCCAUAUAAGAAUAAAGCCUUAGAGACAUUCGUGCGUAACUCAUCCAUCCAUGUAAUUGAGUUCUUUUUUUCUUUUUUUGGUAAGAAAAAAAACUUUGGAGGUAUACCAUGUAGACUUGUUCAUUGAGUUCUCCAUGAAGGAGGUAGUUGUGGUCACCCAAUUGAGGCAUUCACUUGUUAAGAAUAUGCCUUACAGAGAUACACAGCUGUCAAUUUUAUCGAUGGGAGAGUUUGAUGGAGGACUUGGGAAUUUAAAGUCUAGACAUAUGGCUUUGUUACCUAGAUAGGAGCAGUGUUUUACGAAUGAACCACAUGCUUUUCGGAGGAAAGUCAUUAUCACAAUUCGUGGUUCUUCAGUUUUUUAUUGGACUUCUGCUUCAAGAACUAAUUUGGGUCUUCAAAGUGCUUGAAUGAACAUCUCAAAGCUUUGGAAGCAAUUUAAUGCUCUUGCUCUUUUCAGAUUGGGUAAUGGGAGAAGAAUUAUGUUUUAGAAUGGUAUUUGGUUAGGAACUUAUUUCCCUCGGCUGCUUGCUGUAUUUUAAUCUCCUAAUUGACUUUUUCGGAUCACUGGGACGUUCCAAUUGGUGCUUGAUUUCUUUCGUCAAUACUUAAUGAAGAAAUACUUGAGUUUCAAUCAUUACCAUCCUCAGUUUCAGCAGUUUCUAUUGAUUCUAGAAUUUGGUCUCUUGAACCUUCAAGUAUUUUCUCUAUCAAAUCUUUAACCACACGUUUGGUAUCUUCUUUGCCAAGGGAUAAAGAGUUGUACUCAAGAGCCUUUGGAAUUUCAAGGCCAAAACGGAUAAAUAUUUUGAUAUGGAUUACGUUGAAUUACAACCUUAUUACUUCAGUCCAUUUGAGAACAUCCGAUACAACCUUAUUACUUCAUAGGUGUUGAAAAAGAAAAAAUUCAUGAAGUGCUUAAUGGCAUCAGUUCGCCAGCUUUUACCUUGUGGGGGAGGGAACACUUCUUCAUAUAUUCUUCUAUGGCUCCUUUGCUAAUCAGAUUUCGGUAUGAUUGCUUUCUAUUUUGAAUAUCCAUUGAACAUUCUUCAAUAAUUUUUGAAAUAUUGUUACUUGCUUACUGGAAUUGUGCUACACAUCAAAGCCGGAUUGUUUUCAGUAAAUGCAGUUAGAACAAUUAAACUUUGGUUGGAAAGGAAUGAGCCUAUCUUCCAUGAUAAACUUUUACUGGAGUUUGAAUGUUUUGAAUUCUUGAAGUCCUCUACUUGGUGUUCUCUUUCCAAAUUACCUGGGGGGUUCUUCUAUUCAAGUCUAGUGUUUCAAAAUGCCCAAGGCUCACUAAGGCAUAUUUGCCUCUAAAGCCUAGGCACAAGGCACACAAAAAAGUCAUCCAAAUUAACUGGUGUGAGGGUGGUGGUUUGUGGAAGAUGAAGAUGAAGAUGAAGCGUUAGUCUUAGACUUCAUUUUUAAGGUACCGACACUAGAAUAAUAUGCAGGUUUUUUUGCUCUAGCAACUCUUCAAAUGUCGCCCCAUGUUAAAGAGUCGUUAUCCAAAACAAGAUCCUCCUCCUCCUCUGAUCGUCAACCAUUCUUUCAAUCAGUCACUCAUUACUAUCAUCUAUCUCUUUUAAAGAGAUAUGGUCGAGGAUGUUUUGAAUGUUAUGUCUGCGUUUCAGUGCUCUAUUAUAUUUUAUGAGUAAUAAAUCAUUUAGACAACUUUGAGCAAAUCUAUUCCUUUUCAUGCUAUGAAGCUACAAGUAUACAUAACAAAAUUUUCAUUUUUAACAUCUAGAGGCACUACAAGUAAUAGAGAUACCUAACCUAUCAAAAACGCUGCAAUUACUUUCACAUCUCAAGACACCACAAGUGAAACAUCAAAUUCUCUUAGCAAAAUUUUGCAAGUUUUGAGUUGAUUGUGUGACGAUCCCACCAUUCCACUAAAGAUCAAAACUAUAUUAGUAGCUUUCAAUUCGAAAUGAUAUUCAAUGUUUAAUCAAAGACUUCAAGUUCAAGUUAACUGGAGAUAUUUUGUCUCUGUCUAAUUGCUAAAGGAUGUCCAAAUAGUCUUUCAGCUUUCUUGUAUUUGGUUACCUCUCUAAAGUGGUUUGUCUUGAAUGUCCAAGGAAGCACCCAUUUUGUUAUGCAUGUAUAAAACCCGUUAACAAUUUCAUCAUCAACUUGAACAUUUGGAUUUGAAUAAUAAAAUUUUGGGUUUAGAUAAUAUCUGGCUACAUGCAAAGGAGGAUGGAACUGAAGCUUCUCAUUGUUGAUCAAUUAUUGUAAAAAUAUUUUUAUACUUUUCUUCUUUACCAUUGAAGGAUUUGGCGAUGACCUCCUUAGCUCUAUCACUUGUAUCCCAUCCCAUAAGAGGCCUUUUCUUGCUAUCCACUGAGUACUUGAACUAAAGGGCCGGAUACUUUAAGAGCAAAAACAAUGGUAUUCCAAAAACUUUAAGAGCAACAAGGUGUUUAGGGGCGUGGAGAGGAACCCUAGUGAGGUUUGGUUUUUGGUGAGGUUUCAUGCUUCUCUCCGGGCUUCGGUUUCGAAGGUGUUUUUGUAAUUAUUAUGUAGGCAGUAUUUUACCUAGUUACCUAGUUGGAAACCCUUUCUUUAGUGGGUUCUCUUUUGGGGCUUGUUUUUUUUUGGAUGCCCAUGUAUUCUUUCAUUUUUUUCUCAGUGAAAGCCGUUAUUUCUAUUAAAAAAAAAGGUUGUCAACAAAAUUGUUUGAACAAACUUGUAUGAGGCUGUUCAUUGUAUGGAAGACAAAUUUGUCUUUUGUUUAAAAAUAACUUAUGUUAAGUAGCAGCUCAUGAACUAUGAAGUGUGGCCUAUGUGAUUCUCUGACCGUUUACUUUUGUAAUUUGAUCUUGCAUUAUAUAUCUUCAUUUAUUGAUGUUAUAAAAUUAGGGAUUUGAUAUGUAUCUCUCUUCUCUCUUUGCAAAGAUUGAUUAUAUUAGUGAUUUGUUUGUGGAAGUGCACCACGCGUUUUGUUACAAGGAAUUAAUCUAUUAGAGGGUCCCACUUAUAAAAAAUGGUAAAAUAGUGGUUGACAUGACAACUUUAAAAAAUGUCUAUAGGAUGUAUGAAUAUUAGUGGUUACUUUGUUCUAAGUUUGUAGACCUUUAGAAAGAUGUUGGGAAUCUACAAAUUAGUUUGCAAACAACAAACGCAGAGUGAGCAAUAGUAUCCUUACAUACUAGAGAUAUUUUUAAAAGUUGUCCACCACUAUUUUGCCAGGAGCGCCCCAAUUCAUGGUAACAAAAACAUGGUGUACUUUUGAUGCCUCUCUCGUUUUGGGGAGAAGAAAAUGUUUCUUGUAGAAGUACAAA